rnacentral:rRNA from 1 species
GAUGAACGCUAGCGGGAGGCCUAACACAUGCAAGCCGAGCGGUAUUGUUUCUUCGGAAAUGAGAGAGCGGCGUACGGGUGCGGAACACGUGUGCAACCUGCCUUUAUCUGGGGGAUAGCCUUUCGAAAGGAAGAUUAAUACUCCAUAACAUAUUGAACGGCAUCGUUUGAUAUUGAAAGCUCCGGCGGAUAUAGAUGGGCACGCGCAAGAUUAGCUAGUUGGUGAGGUAACGGCUCACCAAGGCGAUGAUCUUUAGGGGGCCUGAGAGGGUGAUCCCUCACACUGGUACUGAGACACGGACCAGACUCCUACGGGAGGCAGCAGUGAGGAAUAUUGGUCAAUGGGUGCAAGCCUGAACCAGCCAUCCCGCGUGAAGGACGACUGCCCUAUGGGUUGUAAACUUCUUUUGUAUAGGGAUAAACCGUUUCCACGUGUGGAAAGCUGAAGGUACUAUACGAAUAAGCACCGGCUAACUCCGUGCCAGCAGCCGC